rnacentral:tRNA from 1 species
GCCGCGGUAGCUCAGGGGCUAGAGCGUCGGGCUGUUAACCCGAAGGUCGCCGGUUCGAAUCCGGCCCGCGGCGCCA